UGCCCGCGCAGCUGGGAGGGGAGGAGAAAGUAGGCGAGAGGAGCACGCGAGCGGCGGCCGCUGGGGCCUGUCUUCGCCUGAGCUUUGAGGCCUGGGUUUGGAACAGGUGACCAGGCCUGGAUCUUCCGCGGCCGGGUGGUGAGACCCACCUCCAGCCUUUAGUGUCCUGGACGAGCUUCUGCCUUUUGAGAAACCCCUUCUCUUCUUUCCUUCUCACCACAGCAUCAGCGAGCAAAGCUGUGGGGAGGCAGGACUUGGCGCGAUCUAAGGAUGCAGUUUUCAAGUCAGAACCGCCCAACAGCCGAGUAACUUCCGUUUGCACGGUGCUUUGGAGAGCUUUCCACUGGGUGAAAUCCUCGCGCAGACCUCUGAGGUUCAGAGAGGUUACGAUGGUUUUUGCCUAGGAAGUAGUGGAAGGACGCAGGGCUUUCCUACAACACGCAGCACCUCCCAGCAGAUGUUCUGAUACCCUGGUGGACAUUAGCUAGUGACUUAGGUAGGAAUGAGGGCUAGGCCAGAGAGUCUUCCAGCCUUAGGACAGUGAUUGGUGUGUGGGUAGCUCGUCACUCCCGCCCCCUCCUCCGGGGUUCAUCUCUAUUAAAAUCUGAGCUGUAUGUGCAGUUUGAAAAACAAAGCAUAUUCAGCGUCACUAUUUAAUACUUUGAAAUGCAUAAAAUAUUUUUGUAGAAACAAUGGAAAAUAAAUCGGAAGAUUUUUGAUUAGAUGGCUGUGAGGUGGUCAUGCCCUUCCCAGGAGAAAGGGCAAUACUUUUUUUUUUUUUUUUUUUUUAAAUGGAAAGUAGGAAAGGUAUUAGCUGCUGGAAGCAUUCUUUUUUUUAUUCCAUAUACUGCCCCCCCAGCACAUGGAAGUUCCAGGGCCAAGGAUCAAAUCCGAGCUGCAGCUGCAACCUACACCAUGGCUGUGGCAAAGCUGGGUUUUUAACUCUCCUGGGAGCAUUCUUGUAGGGUACUGUGGAACAAGGAAAAUGCCUCCUCUGGUGGCUUAGCUGGCAGGCAGGGUUGGCUUCAUGGGGCCCCGGCAGGGUUUCCCUUCCCCUCUCUGGAGGAGCUGAUGUCGCAGCUGUCACUAGGUGUGAGGCUAGGCUUAUGGGUCUGGCUGUGCACAGCAGGUUUAGGACGGCCCGGCAGGGGAUGCUCAGAACCUAGGGCUGGCAUGAGUUAAUAUUAGCAUGAAUCAGUGAAUCAGAAUGUUAGCAGUGGAAGGGAUCUGGCUUUACAGAUGGAGAAAAUGAGACCCAGGGAGGAGAAGGGCUUAAGGUCACAUGGGAAAUUUAAAAUCACAGCCAGAACUAGGACUCAGACCUUGUCAUGACUGGCUUGGGGGCCUUCCCUCUAUACCAUGGGUCCCGAAGGAAUUUCAGACGUCGAGUCUGUGCACGCAUCAGCAGAAAUCAAGUGUGGCACACAGGGGAGACAGGAAAAAGAGAAAUGAGAUGGGGCUUUGCGCCUCUGACGUGGGCCCCUGCACUCAGGAGCAGUCGGGGGGCUGGGCAGCAGGCACGGGGAAGGCCUUCAGGCAGUAACGUGAUGCCUGUUCUGGCCACCUGUUUGCAUGUGGGGUGGGAGAUAUGUUUUUCAGUCUCUUCCUCACCUCCUACUCCGUAACGGUUGAUUUAAGUCCCCAAACCAGGCAGUGAUAUUCUGCACUUGCCAACCCAGUUCCUUUUCCAAGUUUGUGUUGGCACUCAAGUUAAAAAGCUAUUCCUUUAUUUCCUCCCCUCUCCCACCAAAAAUAAAUAAAAGGGCCCGGAUGGCGUGAGGCUCCUGCAGAAGCGUGGCAGGUUUGCUGACACUGAACUCUGAGCUCUUACCAUGAGAACGCCGGCCCCCAGAGUGGUAUGAAGAGUAUUAUUCUAUAAAUGGAAAAUUCCACUCUGUGCUCAUAGCCCGGCAGCCUGCAUACUUUCAAGGUAUGCAGGCUUUUCAAGCUCUGAAGGCUGGGAGCUGCCAUUCUGAGAAAAACUUCUGCAAGGAAACUUUAAAGCUGCCAGCUGCUGGGUCCAGUCCCCCUUGGCCAGGCCAAGAAGAGGAUGGCAAAUAGACGAGGCCUUCUCUCCUCCCCGACAUGAUUUUUUUGGCCCUUGUGGUUUUGCAAAAGAAAUAAACAAGCUUAAGUGAACACAAAUAGGAACAAAUGCCUUGAUUCGGAGCUGCAGCCUGGGGAUCACAUGCUGGGCCUCCGUAUACUGAGAGCCUUUGCUGUCAGUGACCACAGAAAGGCUGGAGUGGGCGCCCGGGCCAGCACUAGGCUCAAUCAACAGUUACUUUUGUCAUCAAGCACGGGCCUCAGGAGUCUGGAGUGAAAUGGGCAGAAAGAGCCAGAAUAUGAAAACUUCUUCGAGGGACGCCUUCAGAUUGAUGGAGGCAGGAAGACAGAUCAGGCCGGACCUCAUCUCCGAGGAGAGAAGUUGAGCUCCAGUCCUUCUAUUCCUCCAUCUUAAUCCAAGAUCGCAGGAGUUGUUGCUGAACAAGGAUGAGACCCAGAUGUCCCAGCUCCAAUCCUGGCAAAGGAGGACCCAGGGCAGCGUCCGCUGUCCUUAGAUAUUUGCAUGGCUGGGAGAAGCCACAGAAAUUGGCUGGAGAAUGUUUGCAGACCUGGGUCAUCAUCUGAACCAUUUGCUGAGCUCUAAAAACAGGGAUCCCUGGGCUACCAUUCUUUGGAGGAACUAAUGAGCCGUGAAUGCCUCUCCGCUCUGCCAGCUUCAUGCCACCUCAUGACUGCUGCCACCUGCUCAAGAAGAUGGAGGCCUGGAGUUCCCAUCAUGGCUCAGUGGUAAUGAACCCAACUAGUAUCCAUGAGGACAUGGGUCAAUCUCUGGUCUCGCUCAGU